GUAAAUAUAGUUUAAUAAAAACCUUAGACUGUGAAUCUAACAACAGAAAGCAUAACUUUCUUAUUUACC
rnacentral:tRNA from 1 species